CAGAUGAGUAGGAGGGCGUGGCGGUUGUAUCGAAGGGUAUGUGCAGACAUGCCUGGAACGGCCGCUAGUGCAGAUCUUGGUGGUAGUAGCAAGUAUUCAAGCGAGAUCCUUGAAGGGCGAAGCGGGGAAGGGUUCCACGCGAACAUUGAUUGGGCGUGGGUGAGUCGUUCCUAAGCCGAGUGGCGAUUGCUAAGUAGCGGCGAAAGGGAAGCUGGUUGACAUUCCAGCACACGGAUGUGGAGGCGGUGACGCGUAUUGGGACGAACACGCUGGCGGUGGCGCUGGGCAGAGUUGUCUUUUCUGUUUGACUUUGCGCGCGCGGUGUGGAAUCCGCUUGUCGGGAGAAACACGCGUGUCGAGGCAGAGCGCCGGGGCUUUUCCGGCGUCCAGCUCGCCACCGACGGCCCUUGAAACUUUGUCUGCUUAAAUCCACGCCGUGGCGUACCGAUCACCGCAUCAGGUCCCCAAGGUGAACAGCCUCUGCUCUAUAUGAACAAUGCAGGUAAGGGAAGUCGGCAAAUUAGACCCGUAACUUUGGGAUAAGGGUUGGCUCUAGUGCUGCGUGGGAGUGGUUGCCCACGGUUGGGGAGGUCGGCGAGGCUGGCUUGGCGCGGUCCGGCUGCUGAGCUGGUUUU
rnacentral:rRNA from 1 species